GGGCGGUUGGCUAUGGCCUUUACGCUGUACUCGCUGCUGCAGGCAGCCCUGCUCUGCGUCAAUGCCAUCGCCGUGCUGCACGAGGAGCGCUUCCUCAAGAACACCUGGGAACCUCCACAUGCCACGGGAGCGGCCCAAGAAAUGGCAAAAAGACACACACACAAAAAAAGGUUACUGGUUUCUUUCCUAGCUUGCCUCUUAUUUCUUCUGUCUAAACUGGUUGAUGCAAACAGAACACUCAGUGAUGUAAUCUGCUUGUAUGUUACCUCUCAGAAUUGAAAAACCAUGGUGGUUUUGGAAACUCUGUUGCUAGAGUCCUGAAAGACUUUUAGGUGAAAAAUACAGGUUCCAUAUCUGCUAUUUUACUAGAAAAUAUUUUAGAGCAACUCAGGAAAGAAAAGUUCAAAACCUUUCAUUUAAAAUCGUUAAAAUUAAGGUCUCUUUCUAUCCCUGUCUCUCUUCUUCUUUGUAAAUUGCUUUAAUCACAUCUUUGGAUAGAAUGACAGUAAGUUCAUUCUUAAUUUAGUGAUGAAGCUAGAGAAUCUUUUUUUUUUUUUUUUUUUUUUUUUUCUCUUUCCUUUUUAGGGCUGCACCUGGAGCAUGUGGAUGUUCCUAGACUAGGGAUUGAAUCGGAGCUACAGCUGCCAUCCUGCGCUACAGCUCAGGGCAAUGCCAGAUCCUUAACCCACUGAACAAGGCCAGGGAUCGAGCCCGCAUCCUGAUGGAUACUAGUUGGAUUUGUUUCUGCUACACCACAAUGGAGACUCCCUAGAGGAUCUUUUUUGUUUGUUUGUUUUUGUCUUUUGUCAUUUUAAAGCCACACUUGUGGCAUAUGGAGGUUCCCAGACUAGGGGUCUAAUCGGAGCUACAGCUGCUGGUGUAUGGCACAGCCACAGCAACGCCAAAUCCUUAACCCACUGAUCAAGGCCAGGGAUCGAACUGCAAAUAUCAUGGUUCCUAGUUGGAUUUGUUUCGGCUGCACCACGACAGGAACUCCAUUCUUUGUAUGUCUAAUGUCAAGUGUCACUGGGAGCCAUGUGGGUCCAGUGUGCUUCUGCGUCCCCAGAGCUGCACCAGCACUUUGCACAGAUGAUUUUGUAUUGAUGUCGUUGUACCAGUGUGACCCUUUAUCCCCAGUCACAUGGCCCUCUUUCAAAUAAGUUUUAUAUGAUCCAGUGCAUGUUUGAACGUUGUAAGGAUUUGCAAUGUGAUCAUGACGACGUAUUGUUAAAUAUUUCCAUCCUUCCUGGAUGCUAGUAACCAUGACUUAGCUUUUUCCUGAUAUUUUCUUUAUAAUAAAAACUUUUUUUUUCUUUGCAGUGCCAUUGAUAAUAGUAAACUCAAUUGCAAUUGUAUUACUUUUACUAUUUGGGUGAAGAUCCACAGAGGAAAUGGAGACUCAUCAGAGGAAGAGCUGCCAGCAGAAGUUACUACUUCAGUCUUUGUUGGAAUAUACAUAUCUUAGCUGGCUCUCCUUGGACUUGACAAAGUGUAAACCUGAGAGUAAAACCAGAGUCCCUAUUUAUCUGAUUUUUUUAAAAUAUUGCACUUAUGGUUUCAUUACAAAAAGGUCAGAUCAUCAGAGGCAGUAACUAUGCAGGAUUGGAAUACAUUUGAUUGCUAACUUUUAAUAAAAGUUCACGCUAUGGUAAAGAUUGUUUAAUGGGUACAGGACUGUCACUUAUGUGUUAUUGGAGAUUUUUCUCUUUCACUUCUCAGGGAUGAAUUUUUUUUUUCAAAGUUUUGAAGUUCCUUGUGACUUAGUUAUGAUGUGAGAAUGAUUAUCCUUCUAGACAAAAUUUAAACAUUUUUUUAAAAAGUUAUUACUACAUAUAAAGUGAUUUUAUUUUGAGCUCUUUGGUUAAAUAUUUUGUCUGUAUACUGUCUCAUAUGAAAAAUCAAAUUUUUGCUAACUAUUGAGGAGUAAUACUCUCUGAUUUCAGGGAGAAUUCUAAUUUUGUAAGUCAGAUAGUCACACGGAUGAUUGUGUUUUUAAGUUUGUUCAUGCAUUUGUUAUUUUAUUAAUUGGCCUGAAUGAUGAGACCAGAAUAGUAUCUACAUAUGUCCAUUGGUAAAGAUAUCUGUGUAGAAAAGUCUAUGCCCUUUUAAACAAUGAUGGGUUAUUUUUUACAAUCAGCAUAAAAGCCUACAGGAGCAGUCCUAAAUAAUCACCCUUAAGCUGUACUGUAUAAGAAGACUUUAUCGUGAAGCAUUUACCUCCCCAAAUCAUCACAUUUCUGUUUCUUGAAGUAGCACAUUAAGGGACGUGAUUUGUAAUUCUUCAUUCUGUCAGUCAAUAGAGCAUUCGUGGCGGAUAAAUUGGUUAUUAUUUUGUUUUUAUGUCUUUGACCAUCCCAUAUUUUCUUAUCCCAUAAUUCUGCUUUGUGCAGAAAGAUUAAAACUAUAUAAAUGGUUUUUUUCUGGAAAUUAUCAGUUAUAAUAUUUUAAAGGGGGGUGGAAUGGCAUCUUUGUUUAUAGGAGAACACUUGUAAAUAAAGUUAAAUUUCCAAGUCAA
rnacentral:lncRNA from 1 species